UGGGGAGUCGUCUAAGGGUAAGACACAUGGCUCUGGACCAUGCGAUCGGGGUUCGAAUCCCUGCUCCCCAG
rnacentral:tRNA from 1 species